AAAUGAAUAGACGGGGGCCCGCACAAGCAGUGGAGUAUGUGGUUUAAUUCGAAGCAACGCGAAGAACCUUACCAGGGCUUGACAUACCGAUGACCGGGUUAGAGAUAACCCUUCCCUUCGGGGCAUCGGAUACAGGUGGUGCAUGGUUGUCGUCAGCUCGUGUCGUGAGAUGUUGGGUUAAGUCCCGCAACGAGCGCAACCCCUGUUGUUAGUUGCCAUCAUUAAGUUGGGCACUCUAACAAGACUGCCGGUGACAAAUCGGAGGAAGGUGGGGAUGACGUCAAAUCAUCAUGCCCCUUAUGUCCUGGGCUACACACGUACUACAAUGGCGAUUACAGAGGGCAGCGAAACCGCGAGGUGGAGCAAAUCCCUAAAGGUCGCCCCAGUUCAGAUUGCAGGCUGAAACUCGCCUGCAUGAAGUAGGAAUUGCUAGUAAUGGCAGGUCAGCAUACUGCCGUGAAUACGUUCCCGGGCCUUGUACACACCGCCCGU
rnacentral:rRNA from 1 species